rnacentral:rRNA from 1 species
AAUCUACCUAGUAGAAGGGGAUAGCCCGGGGAAACCCGGAUUAAUACCGUAUACCUCCUUCGGGAGAAAGAAGGCCUCUCUUUGAAGCUUUCGCUAUUAGAUGAGCCUGCGUAAGAUUAGCUUGUUGGUGAGGUAAAGGCUCACCAAGGCGACGAUCUUUAGCUGGUCUGAGAGGACGAUCAGCCACAUUGGGACUGAGACACGGCCCAGACUCCUACGGGAGGCAGCAGUGGGGAAUAUUGGACAAUGGGCGCAAGCCUGAUCCAGCCAUACCGCGUGUGUGAAGAAGGCCUUCGGGUUGUAAAGCACUUUAAGCAGGGAGAAAAAGUUAUAAGUUAAUACCUCAUAACCGUGAUGUUACCUGCAGAAUAAGCACCGGCUAAUUCCGUGCCAGCAGCCGCGGUAAUACGGAAGGUGCAAGCGU